UACGGGGGGGGCAAGCGUUGUUCGGAAUUACUGGGCGUAAAGGGUUUGUAGGUGGCCGGCUAAGUCCGACGUGAAAUCCCUCAGCUUAACUGGGGAACUGCGUCGGAGACUGGUCGGCUUGAGGGUCGGAGAGGAACGCGGAAUUCCAGGUGUAGCGGUGAAAUGCGUAGAUAUCUGGAGGAACACCGGUGGCGAAGGCGGCGUUCUGGACGGCUACUGACACUGAAAAACGAAAGCCAGGGGAGCAAACGGG
rnacentral:rRNA from 1 species